UACGGAGGGUGCAAGCGUUUAAUCGGAAUUACUGGGACGUAAAGCGCGCGUAGGCGGCUUUGUAAGUUAGAGGUGAAAGCCCGGGGCUCAACCCCCGGAACUGCCUUUAAGACUGCAUCGCUUGAAUCCAGGAGAGGUGAGUGGAAUUCCGAGUGUAGAGGUGAAAUUCGUAGAUAUUCGGAAGAACACCAGUGGCGAAGGCGGCUCACUGGACUGGUAUUGACGCUGAUGUGCGAAAGCGUGGGGAGCAAACA
rnacentral:rRNA from 1 species